ACGGUUACCUUGUUACGACUUCACCCCAAUUAUCGAACCCACCUUCGGCCGCGCCCCCCUUGCGGUUAAGCUACGGACUUCGGGUGUUCCCGACUCUCAUGGUGUGACGGGCGGUGUGUACAAGGCCCGGGAACGUAUUCACCGCGGCAUUCUGAUCCGCGAUUACUAGCGAUUCCAACUUCACGCAGGCGGGUUGCAGCCUGCGAUCCGAACUGGGACGGCUUUUUGAGAUUUGCUCCACCUCGCGGUCUCGCCUCUCUUUGUUGGCCGCCAUUGUAGUACGUGUGUGGCCCAGGACGUAAGGGGCAUGAUGAUUUGACGUCGUCCCCACCUUCCUCCGUUUUGUCAACGGCAGUCUCGCUAGAGUGCUCUUGCGUAGCAACUAACAAUAAGGGUUGCGCUCGUUGCGGGACUUAACCCAACAUCUCACGACACGAGCUGACGACAACCAUGCACCACCUGUCUCUACUUUCCCCGAAGGGCACCUAACGUAUCUCUACCUCGUUAGUAGGAUGUCAAGCCCUGGUAAGGUUCUUCGCGUUGCGUCGAAUUAAACCACAUACUCCACCGCUUGUGCGGGCCCCCGUCAAUUCCUUUGAGUUUCAACCUUGCGAUCGUACUCCCCAGGUGGGAUACUUAUUGCGUU
rnacentral:rRNA from 1 species